UAUCCGUAGGUGAACCUGCGGAAGGAUCAUUAAUGAGUUGUCAUGGGGUUCGAUGCUGGCAGCCAAUUUUUGGAUGCAUGUGCUUGCCCUAACAAUCAUCUUCCAAACACCUGUGCACAUUUUUGAGGGAGUCUUGAGUUGGUUGCCGCUCUUGGGUGAUUUUCUCACAUUCCCUUAAAUCAUUACACGCUAUUAACAAUGUUGAACGUGCUCUGUGCCGCAAGGCUAUUAAUAUAAUACAACUUUUAACAACGGAUCUCUUGGCUCUC
rnacentral:misc_RNA from 1 species